AGUGCGGACCUUUCUUCAGCCUCUGUGCGACCGAGCCGCGCGCCAGGCUCCUGUGCGAGGAGGACGCGCUGACUCCCUCCGACCUGGGCUCCGAUGGAGCAGAAAUAGCGGGACCUGGACUUGUGGCGCGCCUGGUGCCACAUCUCGGGCUCUGCGAGCGUCCUGGCGCGGGAUCCUGCCGUGAGAAGGAGUUGGGGCGGGGGACCCGGCGGGGCAUUGCGGGAGAAGGCCUGGGAUCCCUGGGAGCCUUGUAGCGUGGGGGAGUUCACUGUGUAGAGAGGUUUCAUGUCUUCAUCUAUAUAGUCACUUAUUUGUCUUAAAGUUCUCGAAAUUCCCUCUUAGAGAAGGAGAAAGUUAGAGAACUGGAGGCUGCGUACCCUGAUUACGCAGAAGGGAAGCAGCCUCGCAUUCCCCGGGGCAGGCCCCCGCCCGCGCGUCCCGCCAGUAGGGGAAUUUAGCGGACGGCUGCGGUUGUCUGGUGAAAGGCUAUCCAAGGAUAAGGGGCUUCACUUUUCCCAAGUAGGGGAAAGAGAAGGGGUCUACAGGGCUAGGGGUGGAGGGAGCGGAUGCAGUGAGCAGCCUCCGCAGAGAAAUUGACAAUUUAACCAGGGACCUGCGGCAGAGACAAGGCGGAGACACUCCCUUGCCCAGGAAAGCCGCCAGAGUCCGGCUUGUACCUGGGGAAGAAUCCUUAAGACGGUCUGGCCCAACACUCCUUUGCUCACAGAGAAAGGGGAGAAGACUCCCGAGGGUGAAAAUGGUACAUUCGGAGCUGGAACUCAGCUCGCUGACCCCAAGCAGUGUUCCCUUCUUUUCGCCAGGUUUGCAUCCAAGAGAGGGGAGGACAGGGGCAAAAGGAUGCAGGGAGGCUGCUGAUUUCCACUGAAGAGCUAAUUUCCUGUGAGACAUUAACAGUGAUUUAAGAAAAAGAUUCCUGUAACUGUAAUGUCUUACAAUAACAGAAUGCAGGAGAGCACAUAUCAAUGAAGAAAAGACAAAAUGUACUUAUCCAUGAAGCUGAGGUUAAGAAACCAGUG
rnacentral:lncRNA from 1 species